rnacentral:rRNA from 1 species
GUGGGGAAUUUUGGACAAUGGGCGCAAGCCUGAUCCAGCAAUGCCGCGUGCAGGAAGAAGGCCUUCGGGUUGUAAAGUUCUUUAGCCGAUGAUUAUAAUGACUGUAGUCGGAAAAUAAGCCCCGGCUAACUUCGUGCCAGCAGCCGCGGUAAUACGAAGGGGGCGAGCGUUAUUCGGAAUCACUGGGCGUAAAGCGUGCGUAGGCGGUUUUGUAAGUUAGGAGUGAAAGCCCAGGGCUCAACCUUGGAAUUGCUCUUAAAACUGCAAGGCUCGAAUCUCGGAGAGGAUAGCGGAAUUUCCAGUGUAGCAGUGAAAUGCGUAGAUAUUGGAAGGAACACCAGUGGCGUAAGCGGCUAUCUGGACGAGUAUUGACGCUGAGGCACGAAAGCGUGGGGAUCAAACAGGAUUAGAUACCCCAGUAGUCC